rnacentral:rRNA from 1 species
AUGCUCAAUUUCUUCCAUUUACAGUCGGAGUGCUGUCAAAAUUAUAUCAUUCUUAUUCAUUCUUAUCUCAUUUCAACCAGAGUGGUUUCAAUUCCUUCUUGUCCAUUGUGCUCGUCAUUCAUGUCUUUGCAACCUUCAAGUUCUCGUAAUGUUCCUUGUUCCUCUUUUCUAACGGAGUAUUUUCAACUUUGUUCAUCUUUGUUGUUUUCUUUCUUCAUUUUGCUCAACCUCUCAAGGUUUGUGGUUUCACUCAUUGGUCGAAGAAGCAACUUAGUUUACCUCUUCUCUUCCUCUUACUUUUCCCUCCGGUGCCAUCCUAGAUCUCGGGACAAGAUCCUCUCGUAG